AUGACGGCCCUAUGGGUUGUAAACUGCUUUUAUGUGGGGAUAAAGUGCGUGACGUGUCAUGCAUUGCAGGUACCACAUGAAUAAGGACCGGCUAAUUCCGUGCCAGCAGCCGCGGUAAUACGGAAGGUCCGGGCGUUAUCCGGAUUUAUUGGGUUUAAAGGGAGCGUAGGCCGUUUGGUAAGCGUGUUGUGAAAUGUAGGAGCUCAACUUCUAGAUUGCAGCGCGAACUGUCAGACUUGAGUGCGCACAACGUAGGCGGAAUUCAUGGU
rnacentral:rRNA from 1 species